AUAAAGGUCUCCCUUACACACACGUGCAUGACCUUGUGAGCCUGAAACCUGCUUGGUGGCCACUGAAGUUGAUCUUAUUGAAGCCGCUGUUGAUCCUCACUUAACCUGGACUGGUUUUUGUCUGGGUAAGCUCCUGUCACUACUGAAGCAAGAAGAUGAAGCAGAAUCCUGUGAAAAAGCAGAGGAAGGAGCAGGGCAGCAAUGGCUUGUCUUGCUGUGGAGCUAUUUGAGUUAUCAUUUUUCACAGUGCCCCAAGGAAGGAAGCUGAAAUGUGAAUAGGACUCUCAUCCCAUACAAGUUGGCUCUUGGUAAGUCUGUGAAGAUGAUGAAUGAUUCAGCAAGACUAGUUGAAUUUAUCUAAGGGAUUUACAAGCUGGUACAUUUUGCUGGACAAGGUCUGUAUUUUUAUGUGAUCUAAAAAACAAUAUGAUUUUCAUUCAAAUUGAUGCACAGCCACACAUUGCAGACUGUAUUAUUCAUUUAUUUUGC
rnacentral:lncRNA from 1 species